GGUACCCUUCCCUCUUCAACUGGCCUCUCGCCAGAUAUUGUUUGGCAGAGUUGAGGCUGUAUUUGAGGCCACGCUUUAAGCCUCUGCAUUUGUUCAAGACUGCCUGGCCGAUCAGCUCACACAGUCUACAUCUGUCUCAACUGCGCUGAUAGCCAUUUCGGGGUCUUUGAAGUUGGCUUCAGAAUCUCAGAAGUAAUCAGUAGAAUUGUUUAAUGCAGCCUGGAGGAGCCCUUUUCUUCUGCCACGUAACUGGAAGCCGAGCUGCAGCCCAGUGAGUGUCUGCGGAUGUGGGUGACGCGCUGAACUUCAAAGACGUCCUGAAAGUGUUCAAAGGCUGACUUCAGGAACUUUGUAUGCUGUCCUGGGUCUCCCAUAGCCUUCAGCAUAUAGACUCUGAGGUUAAGGAAGAACUAGAAAAUUCACUGACCCGGAACUAGAGAGAGGGCCCAGUAGUUGAAAUCUCUUGCUGUUUUCAUAGAAGACCCAGGUUCAGUUUCCAGACCUAAGUCAGGUGGCUCUCAACUGCCAGUAAUUCUAGCUCCAGGAGGAUCUGCCGCCCUCUUCUGGCCUCUGUAAGCACCUACACUCAGGUGCAUACGCAUACACAC